CGUAGGGUGCAAGCGUUAAUCGGAAUUACUGGGCGUAAAGCGUACGCAGGCGGCUUUGCAAGACAGGUGUGAAAUCCCCGGGCCUAACCUGGGAACUGCAUUUGUGACUGCAUGGCUAGAGUUUGUCAGAGGGGGUGGAAUUCCACGUGUAGCAGUGAAAUGCGUAGAGAUGUGGAAGAACACCGAUGGCGAAGGCAGCCCCCUGGGAUGUGACUGACGCUCAUGUACGAAAGCGUGGGGAGCAAACAGGAUUAGAUACCCUGGUAGUCCACGCCCUAAACGAUGUCUACUAGUUGUCGGAGGGUAACUCCUUCGGUAACGCAGCUAACGCGUGAAGUAGACCGCCUGGGGAGUACGGUCGCAAGAUUA
rnacentral:rRNA from 1 species